rnacentral:rRNA from 1 species
AGUGAACGCUGGCGGUAGGCCUAACACAUGCAAGUCGAGCGGAAGCACAGUAAGAGCUUGCUCUUACGGGUGGCGAGUGGCGGGCGGGUGCGAGAAACAUCCGAGUCUGCUUUUUAGUGGGGGCUAACGUAGGGGAUCUUACGCCAAUACCGCAUAGGGCGUACGGGGGGAAUCUGGGGACCUUCGGAUCUUGGAUGAGUCUAGGUGGCGAUGUCGGAUUAGCUAGUUGGCGGGGUAAAGGCCCACCAAGGCGACGAUCCGUAGCUGGGCUGAGAGGAUGAUCAGCCACACUGGAACUGAGACACGGUCCAGACUCCUACGGGAGGCAGCAGUGGGGAAUAUUGGACAAUGGGCGAAAGCCUGAUCCAGCCAUACCGCGUGUGUGAAGAAGGCCUUCGGGUUGUAAAGCCCUUUUGUUGGGAAAGAAAAGCAGCAGGUUAAUACCUCGCUGUUCUGACGGUACCAAAAGAAUAAGCACCGGCUAACUUCGUG